AUUGAACGCUGGCGGCAGGCCUAACACAUGCAAGUCGAACGAUACCAGAGAGCUUGCUUUCUGGGAAAGUGGCGCACGGGUGCGUAACGCGUAUGCAACCUACCUUAAUCAGGGGGAUAGCCUCUCGAAAGAGAGAUUAACACCGCAUAACAUCAUUUUAUGGCAUCGUAGAAUGAUCAAAUAUUUAUAGGAUUAAGAUGGGCAUGCGUGACAUUAGCUAGUUGGUGAGGUAACGGCUCACCAAGGCUACGAUGUCUAGGGGAUCUGAGAGGAUGACCACCCACACUGGAACUGAGACACGGACCAGACUCCUACGGGCGUCAGCAGUAAGGAAUAUUGGUCAAUGGAGGCAACUCUGAACCAGCCAUGCCGCGUGCAGGAAGACGGCCCUAUGGGUUGUAAACUGCUUUUAUACGGGAAUAAACCUCUCUACGUGUAGAGAGUUGAAUGUACUGUAAGAAUAAGGAUCGGCUAACUCCGUGCCAGCCGCCGCCGUAACAC
rnacentral:rRNA from 1 species